rnacentral:ncRNA from 1 species
CAAAAUUCAGUGAAAAAGAGAAGUAACUUAAAGAUUGUAUUUACAGAGAAUUGGGAAUGGUGGAAGCCUAAUAAUAUACUUUAAGUGAAUAGAGCUUUGGAGAAGAUUAUCUGAAAUAAUAGUAUGAUAAUAGGUGGCCUUGCCUUAAAAGGAAGAGUGAAUAAGAUUCUAGCGAAUUUUUGAGCAACGGAUUUAUCUGAAGUGAUAACGAAGAUAUAUCGUUGGCGAUAUGAACACAGUGAAUUUUAUUAAUUAGAGUGGUAACGCGGUAAAUUCGUCUCUUGG